AAGUCGUAACAAGGUUUCCGUAGGUGAACCUGCGGAAGGAUCAUUACCAAAACUUAGCUGCUCCAGUUUAGGCUGGUUGCACGCUUCAACCCUUUGUGAACCAAAAAUCUUUACGCUUCGGCAGCAGGCCUUACAGCUGUAAGCCUGCCGAUAGCACCAAUUUAAACUUUGUUUGUAAAAAUAUUGUCUGAACAAACCAUUUUCGAAUGAAAAUUAAAACUUUCAACAACGGAUCUCUUGGUUCUC
rnacentral:misc_RNA from 1 species